rnacentral:rRNA from 1 species
GUGUCAGCAGCCGCGGUAAUACGAAGGGUGCAAGCGUUAAUCGGAAUUACUGGGCGUAAAGCGUGCGUAGAUGGCUUUUUAAGUCGACUGUGAAACCCCUGGGCUCAACCUGGGACGUGCAGUCGAUACUGAGGAGCUUGGAGUCUGAGAGAGGGUGGUGGAAUUCCUGGUGUAGCGGUGAAAUGCGUAGAGAUCAGGAGGAACACUAGUGGCGAAGGCGGCCACCUGGCUUAAGACUGACGUUGAGGCACGAAAGCGUGGGGAGCAAACAGGAUUAGAAACCCCAGUAGUCC